rnacentral:misc_RNA from 1 species
GCCUCAUUGACAAUUCCUUCGGGCUUUAUCUCAUCCAAGUGAAAAGUCACAUGCUUUGCAUCAACCAAAGUAACAACACCAUCCAGCUUGACAUCAUUGAAAACUUUAUCCUCAGCAUAAAACGUCUGGAUAAUAGGUGAUGGAUUGGCUAGGCCUGUAGUUUCUAUUACAAUGUGAUCAAAAUUUCCUUUUUUCUUCUGAACCAGUUCUGAUAUCA